rnacentral:rRNA from 1 species
CCUACGGGCGGCAGCAGUCGAGAAUCAUUCACAAUGGGGGAGACCCUGAUGCAGCGACGCCGCGUGAGUGAAGAAGUAUUUAGGUAUGUAAAGCUCUAUCAGCAGGGAAGAAAAAAGACGGUACCUGACUAAGAAGCCCCGGCUAACUACGUGCCAGCCGCCGCGGUAAUACGUAGGGGGCAAGCGUUAUCCGGAUUUACUGGGUGUAAAGGGAGCGUAGACGGCUUGGCAAGCCAGAUGUGAAAUGCUGGGGCUCAACCCCAGGACUGCAUUUGGAACUGUCAUGCUAGAGUGUCGGAGAGGCAGGCGGAAUUCCUAGUGUAGCGGUGAAAUGCGUAGAUAUUAGGAGGAACACCAGUGGCGAAGGCGGCCUGCUGGACGAUGACUGACGUUGAGGCUCGAAAGCGUGGGGAGCAAACAGGAUUAGAUACCCUUGUAGUC